GAACAUAAUCACCAGGUGUGCUGGGACCAAGUCUCACACAUAUGAUGAAUCAUGGCACAGGAUCGAACGUCACAUCUUUACUAUAUAACAGGAGUUCUGUACAAAAUAAAUAAUUACAUUAUAAGGAGACAACGGUCCAGCAAUCCAAAGUUGACUGGGAGACGACGGCCUAGAUCUCUCACGAACUCAUCGCAGCAUUCACCUUGCGCCUCAUCCUGCGGUACCUGUUCUUGACCUGUGGGGGGUGUGAGACAGCAAGAGUGAGCUCACAUACGUUCAUCGCUCAACAAGUUGUGGGGAAUAAUGUACAUGAACUCACCAAAGGUGGGAGCUCACGUGAAGUGUAAGGCUUACCAAAGAGGAUGGUUAGAGCUGAGCAUUGCUUUUAAAGUUGGUCAAAAUUUUAUUAGCAAUUACUAAGUAUAAGUAAAUAACAACCCAAUUAAGUAGUAGAACAAAAGUAACAACAUCACUUGCGAUGCAAUGCAUAUGACAAAUUGAAUUUAAGUUCCAUAAAUUAAUCAUGUGAGGGUCCGAGCUGCUCAUGACCAUGAGCACGGCUAGUAUACCAGUUUUACACUCUGCAGAGGUUGUGCAUCUUUACCCACAAGUCAUGUUACCCAUCUGCCAAGGGAUCGCGACUUCCCAUACACCUCUACCGAGGAGGCGAGGCAGGGUAACACUACGAGGCCUUUACAAAGUUCCACUAGCUUCAGAAAACCCGCUACAGUUUAUAGGAAGCUCCAAUGCAGGGUUCUUGCCUGACCGCCAUCGCAGCAAAAUCAACCAAGGACCUCCCUACACUGACCACUCCCCUACUGCCCUUGCCCCUUUCGGGUAAGGUAGUCCUCCACUAGCUUUCCUAAUUAAUCAGCCAAGGGCGUCCAUAAACCCUUGUGGUAGCACUGUUUUCCCGGGUGGUCGCUCCAUGUUCCAAUUAACAUAAUGAUCUUAUCAUGAACAGUAAUAAUAAACAGAUAAUAAAAGUGUGAUCAUGAAUAAUGUAUCUUCAUACCCAAAACCACAUAAAGCACUAGCAAGUACUACCCAAAAAGUUCAGUGGUAAACAAGGUAUAAAGAUAGACAAACUGGGGUAACCUAUUAGGUCCCAUCUAAAUUAACCUAUGCAGAUCAUUAUGAUUAAUCAGAACAUGGCUGGGUAAAAAGAAGUGAUCAAGGGCACAACUUGCCUGGCACUUGAGAUUCCAGGUACCAACUUGCUUUUCAGAUGACUCGUGACCUCACGCUAGUCGUAGCAAUACAAACAAACAUGGUAUAGGCAAAAUUAACACCACACCAAACAUAUAUGCAAAAUACAUAUUAAUAAUCUACAUAUUAAAAUAAGAUCAUAAUAGUAUAUUAAUAUUAGAAAAGUUAGUCCAAUAAACAUAGAUUGAUCCAAUUAGUUACUUAAUUAUAAAAGUAUGGGAUAUCACAUAAUCAAUAAUGCUACUACGUAGUAAAUAUCUAUACGAGACUAACACAACUUGAACGGAUUGAAACGGAGCUAAAAUAAAUUACUUAUGAUCUUCUGAAGUCUAUAUGGGCUUGAUACAAAAUUAAUUAGGUGAUCCAAUUUAAUAUGGUUUCAUGUUAAAACAGUGUUACCAAUUGAUAUACAAUAUUAAUACAAAAUUAUAGGAACUGGAAUGGAUUAAAAAAGAGUUAAAAUGGAUUUUCUAGGAAUUAUACAAGUUUUAGAAUUAUUUUUGUACCCAAAAAGUAUUUUCUAUACUGUUUUAUUCAAUUUUCCCACGACUCUGGACUGCACGCAAUAUUACUGGGAAGCUCGGGGUUCGGUCUAUAAAAAUCCAGGGCCCAGAUCAUAAGGCUAAAGGGGUACGCACAAGACCAAAUCCGGUGCGUUCAUGAGAGACUCAAUGAUCAAAAUUUAAAAAGGCUGCGAUCUAUUUUCAUACGUCCACUCAUCGAUCUACGGCAAGGAUGAAUCGUUGCCGAAGCGUCAUCUCUACUCUAAUCCUAUCCCUCCAUUUCAGAUCCGACGACCAGUAGAUUUCCUCCCUAUUCUAAUCCCAACCGUCUGCUUCAGAAUCAACGGCCAGGAACCUGUCGUUUACCUCCCGAUGGUGGCUCUCCUACAACUAUGGUGGCGAGAUCGCCGACCCAUCGUACUACUGCAGUCUAGAUCGUGAUUUCACACACAGCGUUGCCGAAACAGCGAAGCAGAUACCGUGGACGAGAAAGACUACUAGGUGGCAUAUGACAGCAUGUGGCCAGAGAACCGAAACUGCUACUCCGGCGUCAUUAUCGAACCUGGGACCUUGAUUAGAUCAAAUAAUGCUAGCAUUUAAACCCAUACCUCGAGGUAGCCUACGACAAAUCGUCGGAGCGAAAGAUACGGUGUCGUCGUCACACCAUGGCGGUGCCCCGGUCGAUAGAUCCGGCCACCCCGGCCCCGGCCCUGGCCCCGAUCCCUCCUCUGUUUGGCAAUGGCGACAUGGUUAUCCGAUUGUUUGGGGUAGAUCUAGAUUGGUUGGGUCUAACUCCUGCGCUAGCCAUGAUUAUAUAGGGCAAAGUAUUUCAGAGUGUUGAGGGGUAUUCGAUCGAGGAGAUUGAGUCCGUCGUCCCGGACAGAAAACCCGACGCGGAUAAUGCAACGGCCAAGGGGCCCAACGGCUCAGGACAUAGCCGCAUGCCAAGGAAGUUUUGAUCCCAAAGUCAAGGCAAAAAUCCCGGAGAGGUGAAGGGUUCUAGGGUCUGAUCUUGUGGAAAACUUGGCAGCCAGAAUGAUCCCCAAGGUGGCCAUGCCAGGAAAGCUUAAUCUUAAUCGAACUCAAAGAUUGGAGACGGU
rnacentral:lncRNA from 1 species